CCCCGCCACGCAGCAGGACUCCGGGGUCAGCAGCCUCUAGCGCGGGAGCGAACGCGGCUCAGGGAAGUCGGCAAGCCGGCUCCGUAACCUCGGGAAAAGGAGUGGCUCUGACGGCGCGCCGGGUCAGAACUGGAACGGACGCGGGGAUCCCGACUGUUUACUAGAAACACAGCGUCGCGAGGGCCGCACCCGGCGCUGGCGCGACGUGAUUUCUGCCCAGUGCCACGACCGUCACCGUGAAGCGAUCCGCCGAAGCCCUGGUAAACGGCGGGAGUAACUAUGACUCUCUUAAGGUAGCCAAAUGCCUCGUCGGGCAAUUUCCGACGUGCAUGAAUGGACCAACGAGGAUCCCACUGUCCCGAGCCGCGCCUCCGCGAGCCUCCAGCCUCGGGAACGGGCGAGGGCCGGCCAGCGGGGCAAGAAGACCCUUUUGAGCUUGACUCCAGCCCGGGCCUGUGGGGCGGGGCGGCCGGCGCAGCGCACAGGGGAGGCCGCGCCCCUGAGACACCCUGACGGCCGCCGCCGCCCCGCUCACCCGGUCGCGCGGGGACCCGCCCGGGCGGGGAGUUCGGCUGGGGCGGCGCGCCUGCUACACCGGACCGCAGGCGUCCCACGGCGGGCUCAGCGAGGACGGAGACCUCCCGCGGAGCAGAAGGGCACAAGCCCGCCCGACCCGCGCCCCCCGUGCCGGCGCGGGCCGCGAAAGCGGGGCCUACCGAUCCUUCGCCGCCCCGGCCGCGGGCGCGGAGGUGGCAGAAAAGUUACCACAGGGAUAACUGGCUUGUGGCCGCCGAGCGCCCGCAGCGACGCGGCUUUUUGAUCCUUCGAUGUCGGCUCUUCCUACCGUCCGCGCGCACCGGCGCGGAAGCGUCGGAUUGUUCACCCGUUCAAGGGAUCGUGAGCUGGGUUUAGACCGUCGUGAGACAGGUUAGUUUUACCCUACUGGCCCCGGGGCCAGAGCACGGCGGGCCAGUACGAGAGGAACGCCCGCCGCGGGCCGCCAGCCCCGCGGUUGCCCGGCCGGGCAGCGCCGCGCCGCCGCGCCCGGGGGCCCUGCGCUGACCGCCUCUAAGCGCGCACCCCGCCUCGCGCCCCGCCCGGCCGCGCGCCCCAGCCCCGUGCCCCGUCGCCGAGCGGCCGCCGCCCGGGGAGACCACCCGGCGCGGCGCUCCUGU
rnacentral:rRNA from 1 species